CUAAUACAUGCAAGUCGAACGCGUUGGCCCAAUUGAUUGAUGGUGCUUGCACCUGAUUGAUUUUGGUCGCCAACGAGUGGCGGACGGGUGAGUAACACGUAGGUAACCUGCCCAGAAGCGGGGGACAACAUUUGGAAACAGAUGCUAAUACCGCAUAACAGCGUUGUUCGCAUGAACAACGCUUAAAAGAUGGCUUCUCGCUAUCACUUCUGGAUGGACCUGCGGUGCAUUAGCUUGUUGGUGGGGUAACGGCCUACCAAGGCGAUGAUGCAUAGCCGAGUUGAGAGACUGAUCGGCCACAAUGGGACUGAGACACGGCCCAUACUCCUACGGGAGGCAGCAGUAGGGAAUCUUCCACAAUGGGCGCAAGCCUGAUGGAGCAACACCGCGUGAGUGAAGAAGGGUUUCGGCUCGUAAAGCUCUGUUGUUAAAGAAGAACACGUAUGAGAGUAACUGUUCAUACGUUGACGGUAUUUAACCAGAAAGUCACGGCUAACUACGUGCCAGCAGCCGCGGUAAUACGUAGGUGGCAAGCGUUAUCCGGAUUUAUUGGGCGUAAAGAGAGUGCAGGCGGUUUUCUAAGUCUGAUGUGAAAGCCUUCGGCUUAACCGGAGAAGUGCAUCGGAAACUGGAUAACUUGAGUGCAGAAGAGGGUAGUGGAACUCCAUGUGUAGCGGUGGAAUGCGUAGAUAUAUGGGAAGAACACCAGUGGCGAAGGCGGCUACCUGGUCUGCAACUGACGCUGAGACUCGAAAGCAUGGGUAGCGAACAGGAUUAGAUACCCUGGUAGUCCAUGCCGUAAACGAUGAGUGCUAGGUGUUGGAGGGUUUCCGCCCUUCAGUGCCGGAGCUAACGCAUUAAGCACUCCGCCUGGGGAGUACGACCGCAAGGUUGAAACUCAAAGGAAUUGACGGGGGCCCGCACAAGCGGUGGAGCAUGUGGUUUAAUUCGAAGCUACGCGAAGAACCUUACCAGGUCUUGACAUCUUGCGCCAACCCUAGAGAUAGGGCGUUUCCUUCGGGAACGCAAUGACAGGUGGUGCAUGGUCGUCGUCAGCUCGUGUCGUGAGAUGUUGGGUUAAGUCCCGCAACGAGCGCAACCCUUGUUACUAGUUGCCAGCAUUAAGUUGGGCACUCUAGUGAGACUGCCGGUGACAAACCGGAGGAAGGUGGGGACGACGUCAGAUCAUCAUGCCCCUUAUGACCUGGGCUACACACGUGCUACAAUGGACGGUACAACGAGUCGCGAACUCGCGAGGGCAAGCAAAUCUCUUAAAACCGUUCUCAGUUCGGACUGCAGGCUGCAACUCGCCUGCACGAAGUCGGAAUCGCUAGUAAUCGCGGAUCAGCAUGCCGCGGUGAAUACGUUCCCGGGCCUUGUACACACCGCCCGUCACACCAUGAGAGUUUGUAACACCCAAAGUCGGUGGGGUAACC
rnacentral:rRNA from 1 species